rnacentral:lncRNA from 1 species
UGGCUUCUUAAUGUAUGGGACCAAAUACUCAGAAAUAUUGGUUUAUCUUGUUUUUCCUAUCUAGUUUUAUGAAAAUUGAACUUACUAAUUUAAGAUUGGAGCAUUGGAUUUAAUGUAGAAUAGUUGGGUUAAGGAGAGCAUCUUCUGACCAUAUGCAAUAAGAUACAUUUUUUGUAUGGUCUGUAUAUACUAGAGCAUAGCUUGUUAAUCUAAUAUGUCUAGCUGAGCAUUGUGUUUGUUGUUGAAUUGUUGUUCUUUAACUGUCCAUAGUUCUCAAAUAUUGGUUAGAAGUGGGUGUUGGACCUGUGACAUAACAUUGCAGGCCUUUGGCUUUUGUUUUAGUUUUAGUUUCGCCAGAUGUAAUACCUCAUGGCGACUGAGAAAAGUGACAGCUUGGAAAUUGAGCUGUUAUCAUUCCCAGUAUACUAUGAAUUGCUAAUUUGAAAAGGCCCAACUGGUCUCAACUUGUGAGUACUCUAGUUAGUUGUCAAUACUUGUUGAAUGUAUUUUAUAAGUUUGGUUCUAAAUUUUUUUCUUUAUAAUUACAUUUGAUAUGGGGCUGCUAUUUUCUGCAGUUGAGCAAUGGCACUUAAGAGAAUAAGAGGUAUAUGCAUCAGGUUUCAUGCAUAAAGACAACAAUGUCAAUUGUGAUGUUGGUAAAAUUAAACAAAAUAAUUUGGUAUAUACAUCAGGUAUUUUUUUCCUAGCAUUUCUUAAGUUAUUCCGUUGGUUACUAUUUUUGUAAGUUAUUUAGGAAUGAUUAUCACAGGUUCAUAUGCAUUUGACAUUUCAAAUAUCUAGUUUUAUUGAGUAUCAAAGAUUGUGAAAGUUUAGUGAGAGGCUAGGGUUUGGGAUUUGGAUCUACUGCACUAGCAAGAUAAAAAAAAAGUAUUGCAUUUUUGGUAAUAUGUCAAAGAUGUUUUGACACACGUGACUAGCAUUGGUAUCACAUAUACCUUGUUUGCUUUUAUACAAUAAAUUAUGCUUUCCUAUAUGUAAUUGAGGUUGUUCUCAUUUUCUGCCACUGAUUUAUAGUUCUAUUACACCCUUUUCCUUGUCCUGCUUUCGUAUUUAUCAAUCUCUCGCUUGUCUCGUGUUGUAGCCAUUUCCAGUUCUCCCAGAUCCCCUGCUGCUGUACAUGUACGUGGAAGUGUGGGUGAAAAUUUAUUUUGGUGUUUACAACUUCUAUGGGAAUUUUCCUUUGUAUAUGUCUGAUAGGCUACAUUGUGUUGAAUCAAUCAUGGCAAUUAAACAGAAGAUAGGGUAAGAAGACGAAGGAGACAAACAAGAUUUGAAGCUGAAGCUAGAGCCAUUUCAGUUUCUCCCAGAUGCUUAGCUGAUGAACACGAAUAUGAUACUUCCCAAAUGAGCAGUUUCAGGUCGGACAAGCCGUUUCUUGAUAUCAGAAUUCCAGCCAAAACCUUGUCCUUUAGUGUGGUAAGCUUUUCUUAAUUUCAUAUAUAUAAUGAGAGAAAUUAACGAGUUUGGGCACUAUUACAGGUUUGUUGCUAGGUACACAUUUGUAAUGCAUGCGAUAAUGUACUUAGGCUCUUAUCAUAUAAUGAGUUUGAGGAUUGUUUCGCAUUUUAAUCUAAUAAGUUCUCAUCUGUUUGCUGCUUGUUUUGACACUCUUGUUUAAGUUCAAUGCUAUUGAAAAUGUUGGUCAGUAAAUGAAUGGUAUUAGUACCUACCGGUCUU